GCUGUCUUUCUUCAAUGCACCGUCACGGACAUGGAGAGGCCAGUGCCGUGGCAGCGUUUCCAAAUUAGCUUGACCCACAGGGCACCCCCAGGAACUGCUAGCAAACACUCCCACCUCAUGAGGAGAGUGUCCCCCACGCACGGCCAGGGGCGUGCUUUGGGAUCUCAGAGGGCCCUUCCACGCAAUCAGAGGACUCAGGCUCCACCCAGUGGCCAUCGUGGGGACGUCAGCGGCCGGGACCGCGCAUCCUCCGGGAUCAGUGCCAGAGUUAGAACACCCCUGAAGGCUGAGGCGGGAGGAUCACCCGAGGUCAGGAGUUCGAGAC